rnacentral:rRNA from 1 species
UAGGGAAUCUUCCACAAUGGACGCAAGUCUGAUGGAGCAACGCCGCGUGAGUGAAGAAGGUUUUCGGAUCGUAAAGCUCUGUUGUUGGUGAAGAAGGAUAGAGGUAGUAACUGGCCUUUAUUUGACGGUAAUCAACCAGAAAGUCACGGCUAACUACGUGCCAGCAGCCGCGGUAAUACGUAGGUGGCAAGCGUUGUCCGGAUUUAUUGGGCGUAAAGCGAGCGCAGGCGGAAGAAUAAGUCUGAUGUGAAAGCCCUCGGCUUAACCGAGGAACUGCAUCGGAAACUGUUUUUCUUGAGUGCAGAAGAGGAGAGUGGAACUCCAUGUGUAGCGGUGGAAUGCGUAGAUAUAUGGAAGAACACCAGUGGCGAAGGCGGCUCUCUGGUCUGCAACUGACGCUGAGGCUCGAAAGCAUGGGUAGCGAACAG